UUAUCGGAGAGUAAGAGUAUCUGGCGCGAAUAAAGUCUUCUUAAUUGCAGAAUUACCCGGCCGUCCUUGGCUAGAAAUAGAAUAGACGAAUGAAUAACGUUUGACCCUCGAAUACCCACGCGUCUAUCGUAACUCAAUGAAGCGCGCUUCUCCUCCCUUCCAAUUCCUCGCCGCUGCAGCCACCGACUCACGCACGUUCGCCGCUCACGCCGUCGCUGCUACCACCAUGUCUUCUCGCCCUCUGAUUUCGUUUUGGGUAACGAAGUCUAUUAGCUUUUGUUUACAGUACCGAGGUGGUCGGACUCCAUGGAGAAGAAACUUUUCGGACCGUUCCGGAACUGGCGAUAGGGGACAGUUCGUGACCGGGGACUCUCACUUCCAGUCAGUACGAGACACCAACUUAGGGAUACGGCAAGGUGGCUUCUCGAACCAAAACGGAUUUCGGCCUCAAAGAUUGAAUCCCAGGGCUCCGCCCUACAAUCAGAACCAGCAGUUCCGGCAUCCUCCUCCGUUCAAUCAUAAUCAACAUCAACAGUUUCGGCAACCCCCACCGUCUGAUCAAAAUCAACAGUUCCGCCCGCCACAGCAAUUUCGGCCUCGACCACCAAGGCCACUGGAUUAUCGUGGCUGGGAGUAUGCUAAAACGCUGCCCCCUCCUGACUCCGAGCGGUUUGUGGUUCUCUCGUAUAACAUCCUGGCUGACUAUCUUGCUAUUAACCACCGGAGCAAACUCUAUUUUCAUGUGCCCCACUAUAUAUUGGAUUGGCAGUGGAGAAAAAAUCGCUUAAUUUUCGAGCUUGGAUUAUGGUCAGCUGAUAUAAUGUGCUUUCAGGAGGUUGAUAGAUUUCAGGACUUAGAUGAGGAGUUGAAGCUCAGGGGAUACAGUGGCAUCUGGAAGAUGCGAACUGGUGAUCCAAUUGAUGGCUGUGCAAUAUUUUGGCGCACAUCAAGAUUUAAGUUGCUUCAUGAAGAAUCCAUUGAGUUCAAUAAGCUUGGACUUCGGGAUAAUGUUGCUCAGAUAUGCGUGCUAGAGCUUGGUAAACAGUUGAUGAGUCCAAAUUGCAACAAGAGUAGAGACGCUUCACCAACACGCUCAACAACUUCUAAAAAAGUCGUCAUAUGUAACAUUCAUGUCCUCUACAAUCCUAAAAGGGGAGAAAUUAAGCUUGGACAGGUUAGGAUGCUUCUGGAUAGGGCUCAUGCUGUUUCGAAAAUCUGGGAUGAUGCUCCAGUUGUUCUUUGCGGUGAUUUUAAUUGCACUCCUAAGAGUCCACUAUACAACUUUAUCUCUGAACAGAAGUUAGAGUUGUCUGAACUGGACAGAGAUAAGGUAUCAGGACAAGCUUCUGCCGAAAUUCGUGCACCAAGAGCUGAUAAUCCUCAUGGAAGGAUUCACUCUGCCAAUAGUUCAAUUGAAGCUGUGUCUAUGGUCAAUAAGGAGGAUGGUGACAAGCUGAGUGAUUCUAUUUCAGAGAAAGAGAAACAAAAUGAUCCAGCGAAUAGUGUGGGAAGUCUUCCUUGCAUAGACAAGUUAUCUAGUCUUCAGAUGAGUAACCCUGUGUCUGAUGAAUCUUGCACCAUGCAAUGUGGAAAAGAUGACCAAGCAUCAUUUACUGAAGUAACAAAGGAAACUCAGAAUGUAAUAUAUCGCAGCGUGGGUGGUACUGGAACACAUAUUCUGGCUGCAGUUGAUGGCUCCAGGGAAAGUUCAAUUGCUUUUCGUCAUAAAGAUGGAUUUGCUUUUGAUUCAGUUAAUGAUGAGAUUCAUGAAAUAAACACACCAGCAGCUUCUGGUCUGGAACAUUGUUCACAAUCCCUUUCAUUUGUUGAUGAGAAGGGUAGCUCUCCAGUCCCAGAUGAAGUGAAUGUCUCAAGUGUAUCUGCUAAUUUUGACUCUGAAGUAGAUGAGAAACUGGAGAAGUUAUCUCUUAAUGAGUUAGACGAAGUCACAGAAGAGGGCAAAGAAAUCCUCAAAGACGAUAGUGCAUGUCUCUCCGCACUACACAAUACUGAAGAUGGCUUUCCACCUGACUUGGGUCCCAUCAAAGGAUUUGCUUUCAGUCCUGACAGCUCUCAGUUGUAUGCACCUGAUGAUGAAGUUCAGGAUGGAUAUUCUCCCGGCUUGGACUCAGAGAUUGUUGAUGUGGGGACAUAUAAUUGUAAUAGCCCUCAGUUGCAUGCACCUGGUGAUGAAGUUCUGGAUGGGUAUUCUCCUGGCUUGGACUCGAAGAUUGUUGAUGUGGAGAAAUAUAAUUAUGAUCCCUCAUUAUGGACUCCAAUGGAAUUAGCAACUGCUUCAGGCAAUGUGGACUGCACUUUUCUGGAACAUUGUCUAAAGCUUAAAAGCACGUAUACAGAAGUCGAGGAUUGUUCAGGGACAAGAGACCAAAAUGGAGAGCCCCUAGUGACCAGUUACAAUAGGCGUUUCUUUGGCACAGUUGAUUAUAUAUGGCGUUCCGAAGGUCUGCAGACUGUUAUGGUGCUUGCUCCAAUACCAACACAUGCUAUGCAGUGGACGCCAGGAUUCCCAACAAAGAAAUGGGGUAGUGAUCAUGUUGCUUUGGCUUCUGAAUUGGCAUUUACGAAAGACAAGACUGAUCAAAACAUGGAGGUCUGCUAGCAGCAUAUUUUCUGACUUGUUUGCAGUCACAAGCAGAUUGGAAAUGCUAUCCUCCUCUGAUCUUUUAACACUUCUAGUCCUGCAAGUUUUAAGCUCUUGGCAAGAUCAACAAGGUUUUUCGGCAUAAAGAACUUAUAAACCCUCCUACCAUGAGCCUCCGCAGUGAGUUAACAAGUAACGCAUUCAGCUCAAGUUGCUUUUGAUGGGCCAAGAUACGUGGACCGAAUUAUGGGCCUGUGUUCAAAACAAGCAGAAGGCCAUGUGGGCCAAAACUAGAUUGUUGGUCCAGCGCAAUCCAUGGAUUGUGUUUGAAAUUCAAAAGUCAAAACGUUUGGUGAUGCUUAGGUUUUGACAUAAUAAUGCAUGCAUUACUUGUCAAAUUGGUUGGAAGUGGUGGGUUCUUUUGGUUUGGAAAAUUAAGGUUCAACUCUGAAGUUAUAUUUUGUCUCAUUUUCCCACCAUAAAACUCAACUAGAUUGCAUUGCCAAUCAUAAGAUCUCAAUAUACAACGAUGUAUAUAUAGUUGACUUUCUAAAUCCUCAUAAUUGCUUGAAAUAAUAUCAAAAACUCCCUAGCUCCAAUGGUUGUUUAA